GAACCUCCAUAUGCCGAGUUCGGCCCUAAAAAGAAAAAAAAAAAAAAAAAGGGAAGAAGAAAUAAGAAUAAGGAAAAAUUAUAGAACACUAUGUACUCAUUACUAUUCUAAACUAUAUAUAUAAACUCAACCCAUCCCCACAACAAUUCCAUAAGGUUUUGCUGUAAUGAUUAUUAACCCCAUUUUACAGACAGGAAACUCAGGGGCAGAGAGGUAAUUUACAAAACCACUCGAGUAAAUAGUGAUACUUUGCUUCAGGAGUUUGCUUCCUUAUACUAUUCAAAGUGAAAACCUACUCUACCUCUAUUCCUGGUAAUAAUCUUUGUGUCAACAUUUCUGAGUCCAUUCAUCUAGAUCUGUGGUUCUCAACCUAGAGAUUUUAUUGCUCUGGGUGGGGCCUGGGCUUCGGGAUUUUUAAAAGUUCCUCAGGUGGUUCUAAUGCGCAGCCAAAGUUGAGAACCUCUAAUCUAGCAAUUGUGCUGGGUGUUUGCUCACAAACAGCCACCUGUGAGCACACGCCUAUAUUUACUGUGUUGUCCUAGGUGUGCACAGGAUGCCUUGUGUGUAUACCUUGGUCCCUACCCAUCCGUGUUUUUCACUGAAUGGCUGGCUGUAAAUUGCAUGGGUUCUCUCAGUGACUGUUAGAGACACUGUGUGAACACAUUCAUUCAAGUGAUAUUUCUUAAGCAUCUACAAGAUUCCAGGCACUGUCCCAGGCAUCUGGGAUACAGCAGUGAACAAGACAGAUGGAAUCCCUUGCCUUUGUGUGUAUAGUCUGAUGGGAUUGACAAAUUUGGUCUUAUGUCCUUCCCUGUGGGUGGCAGGAGUUGGGAACCCCUCAGGAGUUGCGGAGGGGUGAAUGGCUGGCUGGGAGAGCAAAGGAAGGUGAGACUUGUCUGUUGGUGUGGUGGGUCUUCUGCGUGUGCACAUGUGUUUGAGAGAGGGAGACCCAGAGCAUGUUUCCAGCUUGGAAUGAGUGUGGGUGACUCUGGCAUGUGUGUAAAGGUGUGCAUGAUCUGGGCCAUUGAAAAUAUGGACAACAGUGUGUGUCUGUGGAGAAGGGGGUGAUGGGGAGGGCUGUGUGCACAGUAGGCACCAACCCAGAACAGCGCGCGCGCACACACACACACACACACACACACAGCCAGCUGCUUCAAGGAGGAGGCUGGGUUCCAGUCCCAGGGCACAUACUCCCAGGGCCAGGAGAAUUCUGCUUCGGGUAUGUGGAGGAGGCGCAACUGGGCCGGUGCUGGAAACUGCAGAGUGGGAGGAACGGAGGGCAGAGGGAGGGAGCCCCGGGAGCCACAUCCUUGAUCUCUGGUCUGUUUCAGCAGAUCCGGACUUGGUGCUCUGGGUUUCUGUGUGACUCUGGGUCUCCCUCUCUCUAAUAUCUGGAUCUUGGCAUCUCUGUUUCUCUCUUCUGGGUCUUGGGCGCUGAGGCUGAUCACAUGACGCUGGGUCACCACCUCUCCAGCCUACUUGGCUCUCUGUGUCCCCCUCCAAGUCUCCCUCUCUCUGCCUCUAUGUCUGCCUCUGUCUCCGUGUCCUUCCUUGUCCUUGCCAGGUGAGAGGAGGGGGCCCAGUGCUCAGGAAGCAGGUGUCAGCUCACUCAGGCAGCAGGGAGUGAAGUUGAGGAGGGCACAGAGCCAGUAGCCCCUGGACACACAGCCACACUCCAGGACACAUACUCAGGGCGCUCACAGGAACUCACAAUGACACGUAGAGAGAUGGGGUUCUUGAAGACACACACAGGUACACAAUUCAACACACAGCUGUGCCUAAAAAUACACAAGGAUGCCAGACACCGAGGGUCACAGGUAGCUGCUAAACGAAUCCUGCACACACACAAAGGCUCAUCCAGGCACCCCUGGGGCCGUGGGCCCCACACACCCUUAAGAACAUACAGACAAACAGGCACAAAGACAGCAGACACGGUCACACCCCGGAACACGGAUCUACGGAGGCCCCGGCACACUCAGUUACACCGUGGCGGUCACCCUCAGAGCCACAUACAUACAGGAUUAAGGAGGCAAAUGAGCACAGACAGGCAAAUACCCUCAAGGACAACCAGAGACAGAGACACCUCCAGCACACCGAGGGACACGCCCAGGCACAGGCCGAGCCUCCUCAGCAUUUCUCCAGUUCUGGCUUGACCUACGGUGGGGGGAGGCAUCAGUUACCGUCACUCCAGUUCUGCCCUGGUCCAACUGGUUUGGCUGUCCCAGAGGGUGUUGGAGUCCUUGUGGUGAACAGACAGACUAACAAGCAGACAGACAUAUUACUUGGGAACAACAACAAAAAAGCAAAAGCCAGAGGUCAUUGUCAUAUCUUGAAGAACUAGGAGGGAGAAAGAGCUGAAUGGGCCAUGGGAAGGCUAGGCUAGGACUGACUGGCCCACAGGCCAGACACAGCUAGGGGAAGCAGCAGAUGUGGGUUCCAGGCCUGACACUGCUGUGUUACCUUGGAUGGGUUGCUGCCUGUUUCUGGGUCUCUCUUCUGCUUCUAACAAAGAGGGAGUUGCCGUUGGUGAUUCUGAAGCAGUGAGAUUCUCAAAGAUACUGCAGCAGUUGUAUAAACAGGGAAGGGUCCUGGGAGCCUUGGGAGUCUGAUUAGAAUAAUAAGAGCCCCCUCCCCUCCUCGGAGACUCCCCCCCAAGCCUCCUCCCCCGCCUCUAGACCUGGGCUCUACUCUGGAUUGAAGCACCAGAGGCCAGCAGCACCCCCUGCCCCCCAAUACACACAAACACAUGUGCUCCCGCAAACCUCAGCCAGGUCUUUUGCCCUCUCUGGACCUUAGGCGUCCAUGCUUGUGUAUUUAGGGGCUCACAUUUGGGCUCUGUGCCGGUGAGCCAGUCUAUGUGUGCACUGUCUGUCUGUCUGUCCGGCUGCCAGCAGCCUUCAGGCGCCAGGAGGGGAGGCAGCAGUCGGGGGAGGUGGGGGCGGGGAAGGAGGUAGCGUUGACAAGUUCCAAUGUCUGGCUUUCCCUCCUGGAAACCCCAAGCUGGGGCUGGCCCCCCCUCCUCUUCCUGUCUCUCUCGCUCAAGCACGUCCCUUCUAAGAGCCCCUCUCUGCAGACACCCCCAGUGGAACCAAGCCCAGAUUUGCUGCCAAGAAGGCCGACAUUUCUUAGACUUGCCACGUUAAAGGGGCCUGCACAGGCACGCACUCAAAUCCCCCUCCAUGUCCUCCUCCUGUGCACAUUCAGACGACCCGAGACACACAAAGACACGGUUGGACACAGCGGCCACCUGUGCACACAGGAGGUAGCACAUGGAGCGCAUCUGACCUCAGGCUCACAGACAAGUACAAACACAGCCGUGUACCGCCCC